CAAUCUGGAGAGAGGCGCCUGGCGCCCACCGAAGGGGAACCCGCGCCGCCGCGCCCGGGUGAAGCUCUCAGGUACAGAGACAGAUGG
rnacentral:ncRNA from 2 species